rnacentral:lncRNA from 1 species
CAAUUUUUCAUAGCUUGCAUCUCAGUAUCCUUAACUUCUUCACUGGCGAUCUCACACGUGCGCGCUUCUCUUCUUUCAAGGUAAUUUCUGAUUGAUUUGUUCACAUUGAAUAUUGAUUAUGCUGCUUAGGUGUUUGAUAAAUUGCCACUUUCAUUUGUUUCUGUUAUACUUGUUUGUUGCACUCUUUUUAGGUUUAUGAAUAUUCAUUCUUUUCCUUUCAUGUAAUAGUUUAAAUGAAAUUGUUUUUUAGAGUGAAGUGUAUCACUAUUAUGGUUUCAAUGAAGUGUAGUAGUAGUUACUAGUUACAUCNNNNNNNNNNNNNNNNNNNNNNNNNNNNNNNNNNNNNUUGUAUCAAAAAAAAAAAAAGAUAAAACAUAUGAACUGUUAACAAUAUGUGUUGUUGAUUUAGCUGAUUAUUUAUAAGGAAAUACAGAUUUUCUUGCUCUGCGUAUUUAUACGUGGUACUUGGUAAUUUUGUGUCGUAAAACUGUAAUUACUAAUUAGUCUUAACAACUCCGACAUCUCAAAGCUUGAUGAAAGAUAGAUUCACUUAGAUUUUGAUUUAGCUUUGUUGCUGCACUCCAACAACUCCGACAAUGCCGCACAUGGUAGCCACCAACCAAUCCCCUUCAACCCUCCUGGUUCAGAUACUAUAAUAAACAUAACAACAUCGAGGUAUUGAGUCUCAAAUGAAAAUCAUUGUUUAGGGUUUUCUGAUUUGGUAUUUUUUAAUCUUUAAUUUGAGAUUUUUUUUUUCUGAUUUGGGAUUAUGAAUCCCAGCAAGGUAUUGAUUUGGGGUUUGUUGAAUCUUUGAUUUGGGAUUUUUUUCUUCAUGUUGUUUUGUUGUUCUUCCAACUUUCUUCUUACUGAUUUUCUUACUUUGUCCUAGUUUUUAUUGUUUCAUUGUUCUCUUUCAAUUAUGGUCCAUGAUCAUUUUUCUGUUCUUGGAAAUUGGAAUGUGAAUGUGAGGUGAUAAGGAACAUAUAGAUCAAAGAAGGUAAACAAGAGUGUGAGCUUUGGAGAUAAAGAGUACUACACAUAAAAAUAGCGUAGUUUCAAACCAAUCUUACCCUUCUUGAUUUUGUUUGUUUGGUUUUGAUUAGAAAUAUUGAAAACCAAAAAGUCAAAAUAAAUGAUAUUUUUUUGUUUUCUUCAAACUUGUGUGAUUAGAAGUAAAACACAACCCUUUUGUUUGUUAUGCACUUCUGCUCAAGUUUUCCUCCUAACUUGGUUUCAACUAAUUUUUUUUUAGCAGCAUGUCCUAAACUAUGUGGGAUAUAAAGAAAGUGAUUAAGUGCUCAACUUUGAAGCUCCGUUACCAAUUCUUUUACAAAAUAUGUCCUAACUAGCUUCUCGGUUUCCCACAAUAAUGAACAAAUUUUCUCAGUUCCUUCUUUCGUUAGGUCUACAAGAUAGUUGGAGCUUAGAAGUAAACAGAUUGUAGUCAUUAGGUUUGAUUAUUCAUACCCAGUUUGAAAUCUUACGAGUUAGAGGUGCUGAAAAUUGUAGUAGCAUCUUUCCUUGGCACAUAUCAACUAUAUUAUGUAAGUUGUACAAGAGG